AACGAACGCUGGCGGCGCGCCUAAUACAUGCAAGUCGAGCGAGAAGACGUAGCAAUACGUUUGUAAAGCGGCGAACGGGUGAGGAAUACAUGGGUAACCUACCCUCGAGUGGGGAAUAACUAGCCGAAAGGUUAGCUAAUACCGCGUACGCUCCUUGGACUUCGGUUCAGGGAGGAAAGCGAUACCGUGGGUAUCGCGCUCUUGGAUGGGCUCAUGUCCUAUCAGCUUGUUGGUGAGGUAACGGCUCACCAAGGCUUCGACGGGUAGCUGGUCUGAGAGGACAAUCAGCCACACUGGCACUGCGACACGGGCCAGACUCCUACGGGAGGCAGCAGUAAGGAAUAUUGCGCAAUGGGCGAAAGCCUGACGCAGCGACGCCGC
rnacentral:rRNA from 1 species